UGGUACAGAUGUUGAGGGUCUAUAAGGCGGGAGAUGUGGUGCAGGGGCACGCAUUGCACCACUGUGACCGGAGGCUGGUACAGAUGUUGAGGGUCUAUAAGGCGGGAGAGGAGGUGAAAGGGUGCGCAUUGCCCCACUGUGACUGGAGGCUGGUACAGAUGUUGAGAGUCUGUAUGGUAGGAGAGGAGGUGGAUGGGUGCGCAUAGCCCCACUGUGACUGGAGGCUGGUACAGAUGUUGAGGGUCUAUAUGGCAGGAGAGGAGGUGGAGGGGUGCGCAUCGCUCCACUGCGACUGGAGGCUGGUACAGAUGUUGAGGGUUUAUAAGACGGGAGAGGAGGUGGAGGGGCGCGGAUAAGAUGUUGAGGGUCUAUAUGGCAGGAGAGGAGGUGGAGGGGUGCGCAUCGCUCCACUGCGACUGGAGGCUGGUACAGAUGUUGAGGGUUUAUAAGACGGGAGAGGAGGUGGAGGGGCGCGGAUCUCCCCACUGUGACUGGAGGCUGGUACAGAUAUUGAGGGUCUGUAAGGCUGGAGAGGAGGUGGAGGGGCACAGAACUCCCCCAUGAGACUGGAGGCUGGUACAGAUGUUGAGGGUCUAUAAGGCGGGGGAUGCAGUGGAG
rnacentral:lncRNA from 1 species